rnacentral:rRNA from 1 species
AACGAACGCUGGCGGCGUGCCUAACACAUGCAAGUCGUGCGAGAAAGUUCCUUCGGGAGCGAGUAAAGCGGCGCACGGGUGAGUAACACGUAGGUAACCUGCCCCCCAGUCUGGAACAACUAGAGGAAACUCUAGCUAAUGCCGGAUGAGACCACGAUCCCUUCGGGGGUUGCGGCCAAAGAUGGCCUCUACUUGUAAGCUAUCGCUGAGGGAUGGGCCUGCGGCCAUUAGCUUGUUGGUGAGGUAACGGCUCACCAAGGCUGUGAUGGCUAGCUGGUCUGAGAGGAUGACCAGCCACACUGGGACUGAGACACGGCCCAGACUCCUACGGGAGGCAGCAGUGGGGAAUAUUGCGCAAUGGGCGAAAGCCUGACGCAGCGACGCCGCGUGGGUGAUGAAGGCCUGGUC